UCUAAAAACAAAAAGGUAAUACCCCCGGAGAAACCCAUACUUCUUUGACGGCCCUUUUCCUAAUCAAAGGAACUUGUUAUCUAAUCGAAACUACACGUUAAUUUUUGCUACCUCCCAAAGUUUUUAUACCGCUGUCUUAAGAACAUAUUCAAAAAUGUUUUCUAGAAAAAAAAAUUUCACAAGUCAGGUCAAGGUGAAGCCUAUGAGAUAGGACAUAAUGAGUUAUUCUUUAAGAAAAUUUAAGGAUUUUUAUUUAAAAAAUUAAUGAAUUAAGAUUUGAAAGUAUUUAUUGGUUAACAUCCUGUUAAAGAAAGAGUAAAAAAAGGUGC
rnacentral:rRNA from 1 species